AUCCCUUCGGGGUGAUUGUUUUGCGACUGAGUGGCGGACGGGUGAGUAACGCGUGGGUAACCUGCCUCAUACAGGGGGAUAACAGCUGGAAACGGCUGCUAAUACCGCAUAAGCGCACAGGGUCGCAUGACCUGGUGUGAAAAACUCCGGUGGUGUGAGAUGGACCCGCGUCUGAUUAGCUAGUUGGCAGGGCAACGGCCUACCAAGGCGACGAUCAGUAGCCGACCUGAGAGGGUGACCGGCCACAUUGGGACUGAGACACGGCCCAAACUCC
rnacentral:rRNA from 1 species